UUGAAUUUCACGAAUAUGUAGGUUGGAUGGACUCUUUCUCUCUUUUUUUUUUUUAUAUUUUUUUUUUUUUGUUUUUUUUUAAUAUCCUUGCUGGAGAUGAACUUAGCCACUUAGACUAAGAGUUUGUCAAACCCACCAAACUGAUCUUAUCUUGUAUUGUGUUUUGUAAAGGAAAGAUAAGAACUAAAACUCAUAUAGUCCAUAUCUUAAUGGAUAUAGAUAUCACACAUUCUUAUUUACAAAGGGUGUACAAUAUUUAUUGUACACCGUAAUAAAAGUUAACCCAAAAUGUUUAAAAGUUAAGCUUAUAUAGGUAAAAGUUAUCUAUUUUUUAGUGAUAAUUUUUUUCAUUUUAGUAAAACUUAUUUCUUCAAAAUCAAUAAUAAUGUAUAAAAUUAAUCAUUUUACCCUUUAAAAUAUUUAUCUAUCAACUUUUUUUACUAAUAUAAAAAUUAAUCAAAAUUAGGUUAAAGUUAUAAAAAAAUGGGUAAAAGUUAUGUUGGUGUACAAUAAAUUUAUUGUACACCUUGUGCGCGCAAGACCUUUUGUAUAAAUAUACACCCUUGCGAUGUUAUUUUCUUUCAAAUUGACGAAGACGAAGACGAAGACGAAGCCAAAGAGUCUGAUAGAAUUCAUCUACAACCCGGCCAAAACUCGACAUCAACAAUAUGGUAGGAGCCAUCUCGAUUCUCGAAGACGCAACCUUCCAUUCUCGAUACCUUGGAGCUACUUAACUUUUGUGCUUGCCAUCUUGACGUCGUGAAGGAGCCAAGGAGGUGAAGGAGCUGCAAAGCCACCUACGUUAACGCUACAGAGAUGGAGAUGAUGAGUUUACGCCAUGAAGGGAGGGGUCGGCGUUCUUGCUACCUUGGAGCCAUGCGCGGUCUUUUCACUUCUAGACACCAUCAAGGAGGAGAUGUCAUUCCCACCAAUGCCAUGAAGGAGGAGCCAUGGAGGAGGUCUUGUUAUUAUUUUUUGUUUGUUUUUCUUGCAGGUUAUGACCAAUCUACGGAGAUGAAGCUUCGUUCAACCACUAUGUCGUCUUGGAAACCGACCGGAGAAGGAUCCGACCUUGACGAUGUUGUAGCCCAUUGCAAUCACUCUUACGGUUCCCAUUGUCCUUGUUCGAACGUACAACAAUUGAAGACCGGAGAAGACCGACAAGAUCAUAAGAACAAGCUCCGUCCUUGACUUGCUAAUUAUUUAAUCACCAAAGAUAGGAGUUGUCAGUUUGAUCAAAGAUUUUUCGAGCCACCGCUACAGUCCGUCGCCUGUCCUCGUUGUUCAACAGACCAAAAUUGAGACCAUAGAAGUACAAGAAGGAGAAGUUCUGUCAUGUAACUUUUUUCCUUGAGAAGUACCGAGAAGGAGGAGCUCUGUCUGCUACUUAAUACCGUGAAGCUAUCGAGUAGAGCAUCGCUACCUUGAAGAAGACGAGAUGCAACUACCUUGAACAGUUUGCGCCCUUUGUCGAGGAGCUCACAGUCGUUUCAUCCGGGAAUAAAAUCACCAAUGUUAAUUUUAAGUAUCACUAUACUCCUGGAGGCAUUGUCACUGAUGGCAAUGCGGUCGAUGGAAGAAACUUUCGUUCACUUCCUCCUAUGACUGGUCCUUUUACAAAAAUCAAUAUUCGUACAGAGUUUUCGAGCCCGAAAAGCUAGUACAAGGAGUUAAAUGAUAUCAAUGUAUUUGGCGGCAAAACACCUAAAUCUGUCCUUCUCGCCCCACGUCACUGUCCCUGCGAUGAGGAUUGUUCCUUCCAGACGCGCUUCAAAGUUCAUUGAUGUGACAUCCUCCUAGCCAUGGUUGGUGCUAGAUAACGAUGAUCGAUUUGGUGCUUGAAAAUCUUGAUGUUUGAAAUGUUAAGUUGAUCCCGGUGUUGAAGAAUUUUGGCUGAAGGUUGGUGCAUAUAGAUUUCUCCAAUCUUCACAUUCAACAUUUUGGCCGGCCUGCAUGGUGCUUGGCGACUUUUGUCCGCUCUUUAAGAAAAUUUGGAGAAGUUUUGGUAAUUUUGUGAUGGUGCUUGGCGGCUUUCUCCAUCCUUCAAUUAUCUCUUUUGAACAUUUCUAGUGCUUGGAAGCUUUCCCCAGAUUUCCAUGUAGUUUUCGCGAACCCCUGGUGCUUGAAAGCUUUCUCCAGAUCUCUGGCCCGAGGUGUUUGGUGCUUUUGAGCUUUCUCCAAACUUUAAGUAAAGUCGGGUCAUCAUUUGACAAAAUUAAUUUUGGAAGACAAAGUAAAACAAUUUAUUUGUUGGUUACUCAUGCCCCUGUUGUCGUACUUCAUUUUAAAAACAUUUUGUGUUUUUCAAAACAUAUGUACUCUUUUACUUUUUUUUUAUUUUUUUAUGGAAUACAAUUUCAAAAUUUAAAUUA